rnacentral:rRNA from 1 species
AUUGAACGCUGGCGGCAUGCUUUACACAUGCAAGUCGAACGGUAACAGCACUUCGGUGGCUGACGAGUGGCGAACGGGUGAGUAAUACAUCGGAACGUGCCUAGUAGUGGGGGAUAACUACUCGAAAGAGUAGCUAAUACCGCAUGAGAUCUAAGGAUGAAAGCAGGGGACCUUCGGGCCUUGCGCUACUAGAGCGGCUGAUGGCAGAUUAGGUAGUUGGUGGGAUAAAAGCUUACCAAGCCGACGAUCUGUAGCUGGUCUGAGAGGACGACCAGCCACACUGGGACUGAGACACGGCCCAGACUCCUACGGGAGGCAGCAGUGGGGAAUUUUGGACAAUGGGCGCAAGCCUGAUCCAGCAAUGCCGCGUGCAGGAUGAAGGCCUUCGGGUUGUAAACUGCUUUUGUACGGAACGAAAAGCCCUCUUCUAAUACAGGAGGGUCAUGACGGUACCGUAAGGAUAAGCACCGGCUAACUACGUG